GUGGUUGGUUUCUUGAAGCACUUAGGUGUAUACAGGUAAAGUUUUCUAUACAGCAGGUUAUCUUAUGACACUACAUAUCACUGUGGGCAGUGCAUGGUGUACACCCAGAUCACUAAAAAUACACUUAACACUAAAACUAUACUGAAUAUAAUUUAAACUUUUUUUUGAUGAUUCAGAAGGCACUUCAGGAUC